UCCACAGCUGAUUCAGAGUUAAAGCCAGGUUUCUAGGAUUUGAAUUACACAUGUGCUUUUUCACCAGAAGAUACAAAACUGAACUGGAAAUAAUGUCCAAGCUCUUUUGGUUUCAGCUGUAACUUUAAACCACGAGGCUCCACAGAACGGCUAGCUGGGGAUGAAAAGGUUUGCUGACAUCCACCUCUGCGGAAAGGUCAGAGCACACCUGAUCAGCCCAGGAGACGAACACCUUGGCAGCCUCGUCAACCUGAUGAGGUGCAGCUCUAAAAGGCCCUGCCCAGGGAAGCAUCAGGUUUUCUGAUCAAAGCUUUGAAAUCUCCGUUUGUAGGUUUGGCUCGAAGGUAGAUGCAUCACUAAACAAUGCAAGGUAGCUGUGUUGUGUGGGAUGGUGAAGCAGCAAUCCCAUGGCUCUGGGUCAGCAAAGGGGGGAAAUGACUCGCUCUCUUGCGUGGGGCAGAGGAAUGGUGGCCUUCUGAAGGACCUAGAGGCUUGCUGAGGUAGCCAGUUAAACGGCGUUAUUCAAGGUGGACUCUUGCCCUGCUGAGGGAGAACUUGAAAUGCCCUAUGGUUGGCUGACCUGGGCUGUUGUGGUUGUGCAAAAUCACACUGCUCGUCUCUGCGAUGAGAGAAUGAGGAAAUUCUUACACCUACUCCUGCUCUCCACCACGUGCCAUCUCCUCUAGUUUAUGAGGAUGCCAGUCUUACCAAAGGUCAUUUUGAAACCCCAGCAGAGCUUCUCUGAGGUGAUUUUUUACAUCUUGGAAUUUUUGAAGUUUCUAAAAGAAACUCUUUGGCUGAGAUCCACAUGAAGUUUGCUAAUCCUUAUAAAAAAAAAAAAAAAGUCAUUGACAGUGAAGUUCUGUUUGCAACAAUCUCAGACUUCCUUUGGUUAUUCGUCUCUGCAAAUGCAGUCUCAAAUACGUUGAUCCACAGUGGUCCAGCCUGCUACUCCUGGUUGUAUUCUCAUGCCCAGCACUGUUGCCAUUAUCAGUGUGCAGACACCAAGAACUGGGCCUGUGGUUCUGCUCCCACCAAGCCUGCUUUUUCAAGAAGUAUGAAAGACCAAAAGCACACUGAACAAAGACCAUGUCCAUCUGCUAAUCAGCCUUUGCAUUUUUAGUUUUUCUGAAAACCAAAAAGUACAAGAUCUACCUUUCUGUGUAGAUAUAUUCUUGCAUCUAUGAGGAGUUUCGUGUAAGUCAGUCAUCUGAGCCUUGGUGAGCCAGUGGAAAGUCAGAAGUGGCAUCAGCCUGGAGUUCCCUGUCCAUUUACUGGUGCGGUCCUGGAGAGAAAACACGCAAAGGUCAUAAACCCAAUGAAGUAAAUUCAUCAUUUCACUGAUGGUUGGAUUUGCCCGACUCUGGUGUAUUAUUACUUGCCUUCCACAUGUUAAUUUUUUUCACCACUUCUUGACCGAUACCCUGUUGAAAAUGUUUGUUUUUCAUCCCUCACGACAGAUGAAAAUUUAAGGUGCAUUUUGGAAAAGUAGCCCUUAAUACACUUUUGUGUUUUCUUUAAUAAUUACAUAGUCUGGCACUCACUGGCCCAUGGUUUCCCCUCUAAGUUGGGGCAUAUUUAGCUCAUUAUUAG